rnacentral:lncRNA from 1 species
CACAAAAACCAAGCAUCCACUUAUCCAUCCACCCAUCCCCCUGUCCACCCAUCCAUCCAGACAGCCAUCCAGCCAGCCAGCCAUCCAUUCAUACAUCCACACAUCCACCCGGCCAGUUUUGAUUUUGUGGGGUUUUUUUUUCUUUUCUUUUUUUGGUCCAUUGAAGACGAUUCUCUGUGAUGCUUCUGCAAGAACCAUGUGUUUACAGACAAGGGAGAAACAGGAAGCCACAGAUUGCCCUCAUGGAACUCAGCAUUUUCCUUGAAGAGGAGUGCCUCUGUCCAGGGCUCAAGGCUUCCUCACACACUGCAAUGGAUGCAGCUCCCCGGAUGCAGCUCUGGCUGCCCCUUGUUAUUUCCGUGUGAUGUGAUUGGAUGCCCAUGCAUGGGUGGGUGGUGCCUGAGAACUCGGCUCCCUGGAAGUGUGUGCAAGGGGGCGGGAUUGAGGCCGGAGCUGAUUGGUCCGUGGGUAUGGUCGGGCUUCUGUUGGCUCACAAAGUUAGCCAGAAGCAGGUGUUCGGGAGAGGGGUUCCAGGAGGGCAGGGCGGGGAUGGCGGGGCGAGAGGAGAGGAGAGGAGACCUCUUGAGAUCUGGCAGCCAGGACCAAGCCUCAGCAAGGCUUCUAGCGUCGGCCUUUGGUGCAUGAGACAUUUGCCUGGGAAGGAUGUGGUCAUUUACUCUGGAUUCUGGCCUCUGACUCAAGUACUAGAGUUGGACCUCUUUCUCCUGUUGUUUUGGCAGCAUAUCUUCACUCUCCAAGUAAACUAACUGAGGCAGAAUUUGGACAAACAUACAGAGACUUCCUUUCACAAAACCCAUUCAGGUGAGUCCUUCAGCCCAGUAGGUGCAGCAGGAAAGCUGAGACUGGAAGACAAAAAAAUUUUAACUGAGGUACUGAGAGCCAGCUAACCCUAGCC